rnacentral:lncRNA from 1 species
GUGUCCAUUUAAAAUAUAAAAUAAUUUUGUUUAAAAAAUUAUCAUAUUUUAGUUCUCCCCUGUUUUUACCCAAUAACACGUCCUUUUCACCGAACGGAUUGUUUAUUCCUAUGUUUGAUUUGAUCAGUAUUUCUUGGAGGUUUUUUUAAAUUAACUGUGAUGUGCAACAACUGAAAAAUAAGUGUUGCAGGGUUUCUAUAUUAUUGUCAUUUUGACAAAUGUGGCAUUUUCCAUUUGAUAACUUCAUUUUUUUUAAUCUUUCUUCAGUAUAUAAAAUAUUG